CUUGAACGCUGGCGGCAGGCCUAACACAUGCAAGUCGAGCGAGCGGCGGACGGGUGAGUAAUGUCUGGGAAACUGCCUGAUGGAGGGGGGUAACUACUGGAAACGGUAGCUAAUACCGCAUAGAAUCAGCUGUGCCCAGAUGGGAUUAGCUAGUAGGUGGGGUAACGGCUCACCAAGGCGACGCUCCCUAGCUGGGCUGAGAGGAUGACCCGCCACACUGGAACUGAGACACGGUCCAGACUCCUACGUGAGGCAGCAGUGGGGAAUAUUGCACAAUGGGCGCAAGCCUGAUGCAGCCAUGCCGCGUGUGUGAAGAAGGCCUUCGGGUUGUAAAGCACUUUCAGCGGGGAGGCGUUACCCGCAGAAGAAGCACCGGCUAACUCCGUGCCAGCAGCCGCGGUAAUUC
rnacentral:rRNA from 1 species